GCUGUUUUUGAAAGAAGUUUCGGUUUUGAUGCGUACUCUUUCCUUGACCUACAACAACAUACUCCGAAACUAAUGUGAAACAAGUUCGUGAAAAUAAUUUAUUUCUUUAGCUGGAUCUUCGCUUAUAUAUAAACUUCCUUUUCGAAUCAAAACAUGGAAUCUCCAGGAUUAAGUACCGACGACUUAAAUAGCUCCCUUGAUUGUUACACAAAUGGGCUUCCGAUGUCACCGAGUUCGAAGACUGGUUCAUUUGCAACUAAAAUAUUCCGUGAUCCAGUACAUGGACAGAUAGAAUUACAUCCAGCUUGUGUAGCGAUAAUUGAUACUCCUGAAUUUCAGAGACUUAGGUACGUAAAGCAAACUGGUUGUUUAGAAUAUGUUUAUCCCGGAGCAAUACAUAAUCGAUUUGGCCAUAGUUUAGGUGUGUGUUAUCUUGCUGGAAAAUUCCUUCAAGAACUUAGAGAGCAUCAACCAGAAUUACAGCUGUCGGAUACAGAUGUGUUAUGUGUUGAGUUAGCUGGAUUAUGUCAUGAUCUAGGACAUGGACCAUAUUCUCAUACCUGGGAAUCUUUUAUGAAAACUUCAAAUUGCCAAAGAAAUGUUAAAACAGCAUGGAAGCAUGAAAUGGUCUCAGCUAACAUGCUUGAUUAUCUCAUUGAAGAAAACAAUUUAUUUCCCAUAUUAAAAGAAUUUGGAAUAGGAUAUGAGGAAAUAGAACUUAUUAAAAAUUACAUUAUGGGAACACAGCCAAGUAAUGAGAACAAAGCUUUUCUUUAUCAAAUUGUGAACAAUGAUGAUUCUGGGCUUGAUGUUGACAAAUGGGAUUAUUUCCUGCGAGACUGUUUCUUUCUAGGACUUCCUUGCAGUUUUGAGUAUGAGCGCAUAAUGCAAUUUGCGAAAGUGUUUGUUGUUGAUGGAAAAGCAGAGAUUUGCUAUCGAGACAAAAUUUUAGAAUCGGUGUACAACGUUUUUCGCACUCGAAGUAAUCUUCAUCGUUUAGCAUAUCAACAUAAGAUUGUUACAAUAGUUGAGAAGAUGUUUAUUGAUGCUUUUCUACUUGCUGAUGGAAAAAUUACUGGACCCAAUGGUGAGGUUCUUUUUCUAUGGGAAUGGAGCAUGGCUGCUGCGUUUAGUCGUGGUGAGCAGCUGAAAAAUGCACUGAAGCAGUUUUCUUUGUUAACAGAUAGUUUUGUACACAACUGUAUAAAGCACAGUACAAAGCCUGAAUUACGUAAAGCUGCUGGCCUCAUUACUGCAGUUGAAAGGCGAUCUUGUAAAAACAGUGGAUUUUAUAGUCAGAAAUUUUAAGUAACCUAUGCCAGUUCCUGCCACUUGGAAAUAAAAUGGUGUUAAAUUUUUAUGGAGACUUGACUCAAGGGAACUCUGAUGAAGUCACAGCUGAUGAUAUUUGCGUGUGUGUUGUUCCAGUUAAUUGGGGUAAAGGUAACAGAAAUCCUGUGGAUUUUGUUCAUUUUUAUUCAAAACAUCUUGGAGUUAU
rnacentral:misc_RNA from 1 species